AAGGCAUGAAGAAAAUAUCUGAACAGUCUCACUGAAGACUGAUAAGAUCAAACUCUGACUUAAAAAAAAAA